GUGAGCAGCAAUCAACUGCUCCUCGGCGCGCUGUUUGUCUGAAAGUUUCUAGAAGGUUCAACGGUGCAAGAAGUGAAGCGACAACAAACUAAACCACCCAGACGCUUUUUGUGAAGAGAAAGAAAGGAGGCUGAUGUGAGGAAGCUGGCGUUUUAUUAAAAUAAAGUUUAGUAAAGUUUUACUCCGACAAAGUGGACAAACUCAGGACGGUUUAUCACAAGCUAGCUGGCUAACGGCUGAAAAAAACGCUAGCUAACGUUAGGUUACAGCUGAAGGAAGUGGGUGACAUCACAGACGGGAUGUUCAGUGUCAGCUCGGUGGAUUUGACUCUUCUGAGGACAGUGAGGCUCUCCAGAUAUGUCUGGACAGCUGGCUGCUAUGGAAACAAAGAGCCCUGACCGACCACAAUGUCACCUAUGGAAUUGGCGGUGGAGAUCUGUGUCAGAGUGAUCAGAAAGUUGUAUAGUGUUGGGACACAAUGUGGAGUCCACCAUCAUCCCUGUGUGUUCCUCUGGAUCUGUCAGAGUAUCAUCAGAGUAUCUGGACUACUCUGUUGCUGCUCUGUCCUUCUACACAGUGUCUGCCGACACACUGAGACUCCUCCACUCCUGCUCCACCUUCAACCACCGCCUCCAGCCUCCACCUGGAUCUGGGUUUCAUCUUCUCUUAAUUCAGUCAGAUGUUCUGAACCCAAAGUACCUCUGCAGAUUAGUUCUGUUUAUAAACAACUGUAUAUUAACACAUUUAAAUAGAUAUGUCUGCUUUGCUUUCUGUUGCAGCUCCAGCCUGUGGAACAAUGCAGUAUUGCAGUUAAUUCCCACAUAUUUCUAAAUAAUAUAAGUUGAAAUUGCAUGUAUAAAGUUACUUAAUUACCACCAAUACCAGCCGAUUCUUACAUUAUAACAGAUAAAUAUUUGCUUGUAACAAACAUAAGAUAAAACCUGAAUUGAAUCAAGACUACUGCAGUUUCUCAACCGACUACAAACUGAUUAUGUCUGGAUGUUGAUGUUGAUAUUUUAUUUUGGAAAUCAUUUUUGAUGUAAAGUAAUUCACAUGCUGUAGUUUCCAUUAUUGAUUGUGUGUGUCUAUAAGAAAUAUUGCAAGUACACAGGAAAAUAAUCCUGACU